rnacentral:rRNA from 1 species
UACGGAGGGAGCUAGCGUUGUUCGGAAUUACUGGGCGUAAAGCGCACGUAGGCGGCUUUGUAAGUUAGAGGUGAAAGCCCGGGGCUCAACCCCGGAAUUGCCUUUAAGACUGCAUCGCUUGAAUCCAGGAGAGGUGAGUGGAAUUCCGAGUGUAGAGGUGAAAAUUCGUAGAUAUUCGGAAGAACACCAGUGGCGAAGGCGGCUCACUGGACUGGUAUUGACGCUG